rnacentral:SRP_RNA from 1 species
AAUUCAGUCCCGUGCGGCGAAGAAUCGCGAACCCCGCCAGGUCCGGAAGGAAGCAGCGGUAAACGAACCUCUUCGGGCGCCACGGUAAACUGAAUUCCG